rnacentral:misc_RNA from 1 species
GGUAAAUGUGAUAAAUAAGGAGAAGGUAGAUGAAAUUAGCUGUAAAGAGAUUAGCACUACAUUGCAUAAUCCUAAAUGAAUAGAGUGCUUAUAAGAGAUGAAGUUAAGAGUACAAUACGUCUUCAAGUAUACAGAUUGCAUUCAGCCCCAUUGGGGAAGGUUGAGGGAUGCACACAACCUUUGAAAAGCCCUACUCUAAGCCAAAAGCCAAAUAUCCCUAACCUUUCCAUUAAUCAAG